rnacentral:tRNA from 1 species
UAGGUGAAUGCUCGCUGGCUUGAGCGCUUAGCUGUUAACUAAGAGUUUGAAGGAUCGAGGCCCUCUCACCUAG